UUCUUUUUCUCCCAAUAUUUUUUUUUUCUCGCUUCGGGGUUUUCGCAUGAAGAAGAAUGCGUCGAUUCGACGACUAAUGAGGAGAUUCACGUUGAGUAAUCUUAUGAUUAGCACGAAACCAUUACAAUCGACUGGGCUUCUUCUUCUUUUUCCCCAAAUUUUUCUCUCUUUUUUUUUUUUUUUUUUUCUCGAAGAAGAAGAAGAAGUCUUCGACGAUUCGUGGGGAGAUUGGUUUCAAAUUAGCCUUAAGGCAUGAAACUAUUACAAUCGGCUGGGUUUCGUCUCCUUCGUGAUGAUUGGUUUCAAAUUAAGGGUUUUGUUUUUGGUUUGAUUUGAGAACGAAACUACAACAAUCGGCUGGGCUUGGUCUCCUUCGUGAUUGAUUUGGGGUUUCGAAUCUAAACCCAUGGAAGCUUGUCUCCGCUUCGUCGAGAUUCUAUUUUGGGGACAUUGUCCCGAGCAAAAUCCUGAACUGUUGGCUUGGUAGUGCAUGCAUGUUGGGAAUUGGAAAAGAGGUUGCGUUUUGUUGGAUUAUCCAACGGCUAAAUAAGUCUUAAGACAAAAGACAUAGAACCAAAGAGUUCUCAAAGUUUUGGUACCCUCGGUUGGUAAAAACCAUAAGACAUGAAUGACAUAAAGAA